rnacentral:RNase_P_RNA from 1 species
AACGUGAAGAGUUCGCAUUAGGGUUUCCUCCCUGGGAAGGUCUGAGAGUGCAAAGCAUGUAAACACGUGCCGGACUCGAGACGAGUUGCUCGGUAAUCGGACGCGAGAUACGAGAAACGUGUCGCGGUGAUUUGAUCGUGUGAGCGGACAGUGUCUUGCUGUCUGUGAUGUCUGGUCACCGAAGACUUGAAAGUUACUCGUGACGGUAUCGCUAAGCACGAUAUGCGAAACGAUCGAACGAUCGUAACUCAACUCAGACUACUCCUUCACGUU